rnacentral:rRNA from 1 species
AUAAAGARUAGUUAGUGGCAGACGGGUGAGUAAUGCAUAGGAAUCUACCUAGUAGUAUGGGAUAGCCACUAGAAAUGGUGGGUAAUACUGUAUAAUCCCUGCGGGGGAAAGAUUUAUCGCUAUUAGAUGAGCCUAUGUUAGAUUAGCUAGUUGGUAGGGUAAAGGCCUACCAAGGCGAUGAUCUAUAGCUGGUCUGAGAGGAUGAUCAGCCACACUGGAACUGAGAUACGGUCCAGACUCCUACGGGAGGCAGCAGUGGGGAAUAUUGGACAAUGGGCGCAAGCCUGAUCCAGCUAUGCCGCGUGAGUGAGGAAGGCCUUAGGGUUGUAAAACUCUUUCAGUAGGGAAGAUAAUGACGGUACCUACAGAAGAAGUCCCGGCAAACUCCGUGCCAGCAGCCGCGGUAAUACGGAGGGGGCAAGCGUUGUUCGGAAUUAUUGGGCGUAAAGGGCAUGUAGGCGGUUCGGUAAGUUAAAGGUGAAAUGCCAGGGCUUAAC